rnacentral:rRNA from 1 species
AGUGAACGCUGGCGGUAGGCCUAACACAUGCAAGUCGAACGGCAGCACAGUAAGAGCUUGCUCUUACGGGUGGCGAGUGGCGGACGGGUGAGGAAUACAUCGGAAUCUACUUUUUCGUGGGGGAUCACGUAGGGAAACUUACGCUCAUACCGCAUCCGCCCUACGGGUGAAAGCAGGGGAUCUUCGGACCUUGCGCGAUUGAAUUAGCCGAUGUCGGAUUAGCUAGUUGGCGGGGUAAAGGCCCACCAAGGCGACGAUCCGUAGCUGGUCUGAGAGGAUGAUCAGCCACACUGGAACGGAGACACGGUCCAGACUCCUACGGGAGGCAGCAGUGGGGAAUAUGGGACAAUGGGCGCAAGCCUGAUCCAGCCAUACCGCGUGGGUGAAGAAGGCCUUCGGGUUGUAAAGCCCUUUUGUUGGGAAAGAAAAGCAGCAGGUUAAGACCCCGCUGUUCUGACGGUACCCAAAGAAUAAGCACCGGCUAACUUCGUG